AUGGACGAAGAUGAUCUUAUGGUUGGCUUGUUCUUUCGGGACACCCGACUCAUGGUAGGCCAAGUGCCUGCCGUCACUGAGCCUGAUCCUUGUCCCGGUGAUCGGAGGGCCGUCUGGGGAUCCGCAGAUCUUUGGAGGCGGAGCCUGAAGCUGACGGUACAGAACCGCAAGCAGGAACACGAAUGCAAGGCGGGGAAGCCUUUUGGCUAUACCGGAGCCGCCGGGAGCGGCCGGAGGCGGCGGGGCUUUCGUGCCGUUGCCGUUGGCGGAGGUGGACGACGGCUUCUCGCCCGGCCCUGCCAUGGCCAGAUCAGGCGCACCAAGUACAGCAGAGCGAAGCAACUAGGACGACGACGGCUGGGCGGUGGAUCGGAUGUGUGCAGCUGA
rnacentral:rRNA from 1 species